rnacentral:lncRNA from 1 species
UUUAAACUUGAUUCUUGUCCCGAAAACAAAACAAGUACGCAGUGACAAAUUAAUAAUGUGAACCGUUCAUAACAAAGACCACAUAAGCCAUAUAUAGCUUAUUACACAACAGUAGAAGCAGCAUGCACAACAGGUUUACCACAACAAUUCAACAAACAUCACAUCACAUGUAGCAUUAUUCAUGCCUCAAGAACAUCACCACCACUACUACAACCAGUCAUCACCAACAGCUAAACACCAUAUGUCUCACAUAGACAGAACUAAUAAUGAAGCAAACAACAAAUGGAACACAUCCAGCUCUCCAAUAAUGCAUGCAGGUAACUAAAAGCAGUACUAGAACACGAGCUAUAGCUAGCUAGAACACAAGAACUGCUCGUAUGUAGCUAGGGGAAACCAAUGCAACCAACCAACCACGCAUGCAUGCACGCACGCACGCACGAUGACGACGACGACGACGACGUACUAUAGUAGCAUCACUCUACUACCACGCCGGCGACUGACGGAGUUCAGGGCUUGUUGGCGUGCUCGGGGACGGAGCCGGCGGUGGGGGAGCCGGGCAUGCCGCCGAAGCCGCUGAACGGGGAGCCGCCGCCGAAGAGGGGCAUGCUGCCGAUGCUGCCGCUGCCGGGCAGGAACCCAGGCAUGCUGCUGCCGCCGCUGCUCCCGGGCAGGCUGAACCCGGGAAUGCUGCUGCCAGGAAUGCUGCUGCCGGUGCCGGGGAGGCCGCCGAACGCCGGGGACGCGCCGCCGCCGAGGCGGUCGAAGGGCGGGAAGGUCUGCGGCUGCACCACCGCGUCGUUGUCCGCCUUCUUCUCCGCCGCCGCCGCCGUCGUCGUCGUCUUGAUGUUCCUCGCCUCGGCGGUCGUCGCCACGGCCAGAGCCAGGGCCAGUAGAGCCGCCGCCGCCAUCAUCAUCUUGGAAGACCUCGCCAUCGCGCGCUAGCUUAGCUCUCUCGGCUCUCUUCUUGCUUGCUUGCUCCCCAGCUCCUCGACUACAAGUCUUCUCACUUGCUGCUGCUGUGGUGGUCGUGAGGAGAGAGAGGAGGCGAGGCAGGUGCUUUUAUAGCGGGAGGAGGAGGCGGGCGGGGGGGGGGCAUUGAAGACGGCGCGCAGAGCAGCGAGCUCAUCGGCCGGCCGGCUGCACGGGACGGACGGACGAGGAGGGCGCGGGCCGGGCGGGGCAGCAGCAGCGACGGUAGGUGGGGGGCGUUAAAGGAUGGGAGUAAAGGAGAGGCAGGGUACGUACCUGCUGGCUGCUGCUGCUCUUUACUGCAUGCCAUCCUGUGACUGUGACCGCCAUUAAUCUCCCCAGCAGAGGUUGCAUUGCAUCCGCAUAUGCAUGGCCAUGGAGCUAGGGCCACCAGCCAGCCAUGGAGAUCGAGAAGGCGGGAUUUCUUUUUUCACUCUUCAGAUCGACGCGGUUGAUGAAUGGUGCGUACGGUGACGCUGGCCGGCCGGCUAGCUGUGCUGUGCCUGUGCUGUGCUUGCCAUCGAACGCCUGUUGAUCUAAAUUUUUUUCAAAAUUUCUUAUCACAUUUAAUCUUAUAACAUAUAUGGAGCACUAAAUAUAAAUAAAAAAAUUAAUUAAUUGUAUAAUUUAUCUGUAAUUUGCGAGACAAAUCUUUUAAACCUAUAUUGGACAAUAAUUAUUAAAUACAAACAAAAGUGCCACUGUCAAAAUCUAAAAAAAAUUGUGGAUCUAAACAAGGCCUUGUUUAUUUGCACCCAAAAUCCAAAAACUUUUCAACAUUCUUCGUCACAUCGAAUCUUUAGACGUAUGUAUGAAGUAUUAAAUAUAGAUGUAAAUAAAAAAUAAUUGCACAGUUUGGUCGAAAUUUACGAGACGGAUCUUUUAAGUCUAGUUAGUCCAUGAUUGGACAAUAAUUAUCAUAAACAAACGAAAGUGCUACAGUGUCGCGAAAAUUUUUUUGCAAAAUAGAAAUAGUAGCACUUUCGUUUGUAUUUGACAAAUAUUGUCUAAUUAUGGACUAACUAGGCUCAAAAUAUUCGUCUAGUCAAUUUCGACCAAACUAUGCAAUUAGUUUUUAUUUUCAUCUAUAUUUAAUACUCUAUGCAUACGUCUAAAGAUUCGAUGUGACGGGGAAUCUGAAAAAAUUUGCAAAAUUUUUGGGAACUAAACAAGGCCUAAAAAGGCCCAAGGCCGAAAUCGAAAUGCCGUGAAAGCUUUGCAUUGGCAGUCUGCUAGCUACGGCUGCAUGCGUGACACAUGCAUGCAUGGUGGGUGGUGACGAACGGGUGGCCGUAUCGAUCGUUGUACCACUGACUGGACGGAAGGAAGACGAUUGGAGAGCGUUGCGUCUCCGUUAGCUAUAAGCCUGGAAUGGCAGUACGUACGUUCGGAGAUGGAUCCCAUCGGUAUGCAUGUAGGAGUAAUGUGUGCUGCUGCAUGCAUAUUGCAGCUGGUGGAUCGGAGGACGGACGCGCGUGGAACUGUGGUCAUCCCAACACGUGAGGGCGGUAAUGCUAUUCGCCAUGACAGUUAAGCGUGUAAGUACGGCGCUGAUCGUCGAUCUUCCUAGCUCGCUGGCGUGACAGAAACAUAUACCCUCAGGUUUGCCAUUGCUACUACCUGCGCAUGCACAAUAUAUAUAAAUUCUCCAUAUUCUCUGGGUCGUUUAGGCUUUAAUUGGACAGUGAUUAAUAUGCGUGUUUCAUUUGCAUGCAUGAUGUGGCUCAAACUGAACUAAAACUGCACAAUAAUUUCUUUUCUUAAAAUGUAAUUAAGCAGUUUGGUUCAGUUGUGCGUAAGAAACUACUACUUCUGUUGUGCGUAAUUCACGACGAUGAGGAACAAGUAUAUAGCACAAGAUUCAAGUAAAAAAAAGCGAGCGAGCACAAGUGAUCGCACUACUGUGUUGAUGAUGCACGCCAGAUGGAUCGGCCGGUGCACUCGCAUGAGCAUUAAACAGAUGUAUGGUUUGUGGAAUGGAUGGUAGUCGUUGGUGACAUAAUGCUAUGGGCACGGGCGGGCAACAUGCCCUAAGAGGAAUAAAGGGCUACUACGAAAAGGAACUACGGAGUAAUAAAUUAAAUCGCUUCAUUAUCAUGCCCUAUUAUGCGAAUGGUAUGGAGUACUAGAUGUUUGGAGAAAAUAAUGACUUUAUGUCCUAUUAUUGUGCCUAGCUACUUUAUUUUAUAUAUACAGUCCACAUAAAAAAAAAGUGCCACUGCUCUUCCGAUCCUGCAGCAUGGAGUAAUUGCAUUCCUUCUGUUUUGACCCAACUAGAGUAUUCCCUCCAUUUUCACUGACGAAUGCAAUUCUUGUUUUUCAAAAAGUCAAACCAUUCGAACUUUGACUGAAUUUAUAUAAAAAAUUACUAACAUUCAUGAUACAAAAAAAUAUUAAUUAUAGAAUAUAUUUUAUAAUAAAUUUAUUUGAAAACAUAAAUAUUAAUACUAUUUACUAUAAAUUUGGUCAAAUUUUAACAAGUUUGAUCAACAUGCUUUCAAUAAUUGUAUUCAUGUGGGGUCUAAUUAAUACUAGUAAUAACUAGGCUUUGGACAAAUAUGCGUGUUUCAUUCAUGAUGUAGCUCAAACUGAACUAAAACCGCACCUAUUUUAAUUUCUUUUCUUAAAAGGAAAACUACAGUUUAAUUAACUACUGCUUCUGUUGUGGGUAGUUAACGAUAAGACAAGGAACGAACACAACACAGGCCUUGUUUAGUUGGAAAAAAAAUUGGUUUUAGCUACUGCAGCACUUCCGUUUGUAUUUGAUAAUUAUUAUCCAAUUAUGAACUAACUAGACUCAAAAGAUUCGUCUCGUAAAUUAUAGGCAAACUUUGUAAUUAAUUAUUAUUAUUAUUAUUUAUAUUUAAUACUUCAUGAUGCAUGUCUCCAAAGAUUCGAUGUGAUGAAGAAUCUUGAAAAGAAAAUAAACUAAAAACAAGGCCACAAGUGAUCUCGGCACUGUUGAUGCAUGCCAUAUGGAUCGGCCGGUGCACAGGCAUGAACAUUAAACAGAUGUAUGGUUUGUGAUACGGAUGGUAGUCGUUGGUGACAUAAUGCUAUGGGCACGGGCAACAUGCUAUAUGCCCUAUAAAGGGGCAUUACCACAGGACCUUAUAUUUUUUAUAUAAAAAAAGAACUACGGUGUAAUAAAUCGCUUCAUCAUGCCCUCUUGUUUGGAGAAAGUGAUGACUUAUUUAUGUCUUAUUAUUGUGUGUAGCUAGUUUAGUUACAUAUAGUAGUCUACACAAAUAAAAAAAUGUCACUGCUCUUCCGAUUCAGCAGCAUGGAGAUGGAGUAGCAAGCUAAGAUUAUCUCCAACAAUUGUUAUCUAAAAUAGAAGACUCAUUUUUAUGUUUGGGUAGUACGACAGGUAAAAGAUUUCAUACCCUUUUUAUUUUCUCCAACAACAAGACCCAAAAGAGAGUUUUUCCUGCAAAUAGGUCUCGAAGUAUUUGGGUUAUACCUCUCCUCAUACCCAAAAUAAAUAUUCUAUAUAGAUACUCUGUUGAAGGUUAUAGGUAUUGUAUUAGAGAUCCAUUUUGAGUUUCCUACGUGUCUGUCAUUUUAAGUUUUCUUAUGGGUCUUCUACUAGAGACAGCUUAGUUCGGAUAAACCCUGUUUUUUUCUUAUGUUUUCUUCCCAGAACGGUCGGGUGACUGCAUGUCUGCAUGCAGCACACAAGAGCAGCGGCAAGCAGCGGAAGAACGGCUAGUGCAUACUGUAGUCAAGACUCAACGCAACAACUGUCAUGAGGUGAAGGCAACUCUCAUGAGGUAAAAGUGUAACACGUCAAUGUGGCUUCAAAUCAAAAUACUUGAAUCCUACAAUCUUAGCAUCACAGCUUCUCAAGUUGUGAAUCGAGUUGAUCUCACCAAGAAGGUUAAUCCCUACCUGGGAAACGAAAAACAAAAGUGAGACUCGAAAGUACACAAUCCAACUACUCAAUUAAAGUGACAAGUUGUGGAUGUAUGAUUAUGCUCAUGAAAUUGGGGUUUCACAACCAAUAUAAUGACAGACGAUUGUUUGAUGGUGGAUUGAUCUAAAUCAAAACUCUUGGACUCUAACAGUUAUAAGGUCUAAGGGGUGACCAAGAACCAAUAUUUUGCCCCUAAUUGGCCCCUACACGUUACACGACCCAACGACGCCAAAGACAUUGACAUAGCACCCUAUAGAUUGAUAUGAUGUCCACUUGUUUCAACGAUUUUUGUUGGCUGCGAAGGAAUUUCAUGUGAAACUAUCACCAUUGAUUGGCUUAUGAAAUUAUCUUUUCAUGCAUAGAAUGUCAAAAACGAAAUCCAUAUGUGUCCUACACAUCCAUUCACUACUACAAAAACUCUUGCGAGGCGUUUUGAAAUAGGCCUGGGAGGCGGACAACAAUUCAAACCGCCUCGGUUAAUGCCUAGAAUUAACCGAGGUGGUCUUUUUUUUAUUAACCCAGGCAGCUAUAGAUAACCGCCUUGCAAAAUCGAUUAACCGAGGCGGGCAUAUUAAAUUAACCGUCUCCAAAAAUCAUCUAUUUUCGGAGGCGGAUGGCUAAAGAUGUCCGCCUCCAGAAAAUAAUUUCUAGAGACGGGCACACUAUAAUGCCCGCCUCCAAAAAGGCCAAGGCCCAACAGGCCCAAACGAGUGCAAUACACAUCUUCUAAUAUAAAUAUAAGAGAAUUAGGGUUUACUCUUGUAUCUCUAUCAGACACCGAGCAACAUCGUUCCCCUCCCCUUCGACACACCGAGCCCCAACGCCACCCCUCCCUCCCUCUCCCUCUCCUCGUGAGCCUAACGCUGCCCUUCCUCUCCCUCCGAGACCUCCCUCUCCCUCUCCUCGUGAGGACCAAGCCCAGCGCUACCCCUCCCUUCCUCUCCUUCCAAGACCUCCCUCUCCCUCUCCUCCCGAGGAUGCACGGCGGCGAGCUCCCUCCCACGACAUGUCUCCACCACCACCAUGGCAUGCGACCAGAUCUAAUGGCGGCGCGACCUGGGAGGCCAGAUCCAGUGCACACUCCUCUUCUUCUCCACCAUGGUGGCCAAAGAGGGUGCAUGUGGCGGUGGGUCACUGGAUCUAGCGGCAAGCGGUUGGAUCGGGCGACUGGCGGCCUGAUCUACCGGGUGCACGUGGUCUAGGCUCCUUCCUCUUCCCCAAUGGCGCUGGAGAGGCAGCUGGAGCUGGGGCGACGGAUCGACAGUGGCAGCAGGAGGUCUAGAUCUGUGCGGCCCAGACCCGGGCCCGUGUGGGUUUUUUUCUUUUUUUGUUUAUUUUAAUCCAUUAACGAAGGCAGGCCAAAAAAACGCCUCCUUUAAUUCUCCAUUUACCGCGACCUUCAAUUGGAGGCGUUUUGUGUGCCCACCUUGCAAAAUCAAUUUUGCCCGCCUCAGUUAAGGUUUAUUGUAGUAGUGAUUUUAGUGUACGUUGUUCCUUGGGUCCGUGAUGCACUCGAACUCAAUAUGUAUUGAGACUCCAUCUUGGUUUGGUCACCCAUGCUAGUCUUUUUCGCAUAAAUAUUUUUUUAAUGUAAUAAUAGUAUCAUAUCUAUUCACAUAAUUUUAGAUGUGGACCAAAUUACCAACCGCUUUUGAAAAUGCCUCCACUUCCAAAGGCGGCUAGAAAGCCUAGCCACCUAAAUAAUAUUUUUAGAGGUGGUGGUAAAAAUCAACUUUUAGAGAUGGAGACAUCUCUAAAAAUCAACUUUUUUGAUAGUUUCGUCUCUAGACUAAAAUGGAGACAUCUCUAAAUAUAAUUCUAGAUAAUAAACUACUAUAUCUAUAAAGGUAGUACUCUUUGCUGCUUUUCAUCAAGGUUAUCUUCAUUAUUGCCAGCAAAGUUUAUUUUGUCCUUGAGGGCAUGUGCUCUCACUCUCCCACCCAUUAUAUUUGCUUUGAGAAGUGUACAAACACACAUUUCAAUACGAAACUGCUUUGAGAUGUGUGUUUGUACAUUUCUCAAAGCGAAUCCAAUGGGUGGGAGAGCGAGGGUAUGUGCUCUUAAGGACAAAAAAAACCGCCUCAUUAUUACCUCCCUGGAGAAAUGAGAAAUGAUACAUGCAUGAUGUCCACAUAGUAUAUCUCCCCCUUCAUCUGUAAAAAGAAGAAUAAUGCAAUGUUGUAGAGAGUUUCAAAGUUGACGCAUAGCAUGCAAGAUGUCUGAGAGAACUGGCAACCGGAUGAGCAUCUCGUGUCCACUAUGGCCUUGUUUACUUUUCGAGAUUAAAAGAAAACUGACUACAUAGUUUCUAUGUAAUUUACGAGAUGAAUAUUUUAAGUCUAGUUACAAACAAAAGUGCUACAGUAGCAUUUUGCAAAAAGAAAAAAAAAAUCAGAAAAUAAAACACGGCCUAUAUAUCUCAGCUUUUCCUCUUUGGUGCAAUAACCAUCACUUUAUUGUUGGCAAGUAAAGCGUUUUGCACAGAAGUAACGUGGGAACUGAUCGUCCAGAUCAACCCAUGCACUGUACAUAUGAUUGCAUCGCUGGCACGUGUACGCGCGCGUACGCUGGAUGUAGCGGUGCAUUGUACACCGCCCGCGCAUGCAGCUGCGCAUGCUUGAUGCCAUACGAGUCACGACGAUGCAAUAUCUGUAUCUACUAUCUACCGUCCGUGGAUCGAAAUAACUCGAUCCUGUCCCGCUCCCCCGCCUAUGGAUGGAUGUCGAUGGAUGAGCAGAAGCAAGCGCUGUGUGUCGCCCUAAGGAGCUCGGAGGUCUCGGUCUAAUUGACCUACGUCGUUUCGGGGUGGCACUGCAACUUCGUUGGGAAUAGAAGCGCAGGUUACAAUCUUACCUGCCAUGGGUGCCACUGCCUUCACCUGCAAACAAGAACCCGGCAUCGAUCUUCCUUGCUGCUACCGACGUUGUCCUAGGCGAUGGCAAGACGGCCAUCUUCUGGCAGGACCGCUGGUUGCCGGACGGGCGUUCAGUGUAGGAUGUGGCCCCCAACAUUCUGGCCAGGGUCCCCCGCCGGCAUCGAGUAGUGACGGUCGCUGAUGCCAUCCUUGACCGCGCUUGGGUCAGAGACAUCGCGCCGUCUUUCACUUUGAUCAUUCUCACGGAGUAUCUGCAGCUUUGGGACAUCAUUCGGAAUGUCCAGCUUUCCGACACUUCGCCUGAUGUUUUGCGUUGGAGGUGGUCCGCAGACAUGUCCUACUCCGCGGCAUCCGCCUACCACCUAAUGUUCGCCGGUGCCACCAGGCCUCUGGGGGAGAAGGAAUUGUGGAAGGUGGCAGCGCCUCCCAAGGUAAAAUACUUCUUCUGGCUCGCGCUACACAUGUUGGACGGCGGCAAGACGUCAUCGCCGCGGUUUGCAGCAGUCUCCAACCUGUGUCCUCUGCGGGGUGGACGUUGAGGAGAUUGACCAUAUCCUGAUUACUUGUUCCUUCAGCCGGAACGUCUGGCAAAUCGUCUUUGGCCGGCUUCAGCUUUCUCAGGUUCCGCUGCAGCCUGCUCAUUGCUUCUGGUCUUGGUGGCUGUGCGCGCGCAAGCUGGUUCAGAAGACGCAGAGGAAGGGCUUUGAUUCCAUUGUUUUCGUCGUCGGGUGGAUUCUCUUGAAGGAGCGGAACGCCAGAACUUUUGACUCCAGAAUUUCCAGCCUGCCAGAGGUGCUUCUCUGCGUCCUAGAGGAAGCGCGGUUGUGGUUUCGUGCCGGCUACAGGCACUUGGGCCUUUUCCCUUUGUUCGCUUACGCGUCGCAUCCUGUUCCAGCUUAAACUUCUUUGUAACCUCUGCUACUGCAAUCUGUAGCCUUGGUUGAGGUUACAGUUGUCUCUCGUAAUUACGGUUUUAUCUGAGACUGUUGUAACCUCAACGUUCCAUUUCUACUUAAUGAAUCACGUGUCGUGUUGACACGCUCGCGAAAAAAAGCAGAAGCAAGCGCCAGCGUUGGCGUGGCUUGCUCGGCGACGCCAAACGCAUGGGGCUCCACCUCAAAGUGACCACUCCAACUCACCAGCUGCGCGCGAGUAGAAAGCACCAACAGCCAGCGAACAAGACUCAACAGCAGUGGUUCAUGUGUGCCGAGCACGAACGGAACAACACAGUGGCGUAGCCGUGUAGUAGAUGAACAGUACUCACGCUGCCCGGCUGCCGCCUUCAAUUUCGUCACCAGCCAACUACCAGCAUCAGCGAUGCGCUGAUGUGUCGCAUUUCUUCUGCCUACAGCUGUUGGGACUGCCACGCAUGUCUUCAAUUCCAUAGCAGUUGUUGCUAAGGCCUUGUUUAGAUCCGCAAUUCUUUUGAAUUUUGACACUGUAGUAUUUUUGUUUUUUACUUGACAAAUAUUGUCUAAUCAUAAAGUAACUAGGCUUAAAAGAUUCAUCUCGUAAUUUACAAGCAAACUGUAAUUAGUUUUUGUUUUCAUUUAUAUUAAUGCUCAAUGCAUGUGCCGUAAGAUUUGAUAUGACGAAAAAUUUUAAAAAAUUGUUGGUUUUUAGGUGAACUAAACAAGGCCUAAGUGCCAGUUGACCUAGCUAGCACGUUCAAGGUCGCACAAAACCUAAAUCAUAACAAGAAUGCAGUAAAUAAGUGGAACCGAUUAACAAGUCUCGGUUAGAUCAUUCGAUGCCCAUUCUUUGUAUAUGGAUGGAGGUUGGAUUUUUCAGUCGACUAUUAUCCUCUUGUUUAUAUAGUAGGGUGGUCUUAUCACAUUACGUGGGAAGUUUUUCACGUCAAAAAUGCAUCUAGUUAAAACCGACUUGAAAAGAAACCGAACUUGAAAUAGUCGGCAAAACCGGGCUGACAAUGGCCUUCUUCCGGCCUCCUUGCCAGUAAGGAUGGCAGCGGGCAGUUUCAGGUCGGAUAUCCAUGGGUUUCGGUUCUCAUAGGUUCGGGUUUGGUGAUGUUUUUUCAUUCACGAUUUUCGGGUUCGGGACCCCGAAACCUGUCGAGUUCGGUUUUGGGUUUAGUUUUGCACCAGUGGAUAUCCAAUGGAUAUCCAAAAUAAGUCAUUAGAAUUAAUUUUUCAUAUUUUAUAAUAUGAUAAUAAUAACUUGUUUACUUAGAUUACUAAAUUUAUUUUAAGCUAACUUAUGAAAAUAUUUAUUUGUUAUUGCCUCUUGUUUAUAUAUGUAAAUAUGUGUAUAUAUAUAAAUAUAUCAUGUAUAUAUUUAUAGAAAGUCCUUAUUGCUAUUAUUAUGUUGACAUAGCAGGCGGGUUUUGGGUAUCUAUUCGGGUUUCGGAUAUCUGUGGGUUUGGUUUUGGGGAUGGAUUAUCACCCGAAUCAAUAUUUGGUGCGGUUUUGGGUUUCAAGUUUGGGUGCACAUAGAUUUCACCUGAUCUGAAUCCGCCCCGUUGCCAUCCUUACUUGCCAGGUAGAUCAUAAGGAAACUAGCAUGGCCAGUUUAGCGGAGCCCAUUUUCUCUUUUCUUCGCUUGGGCUCCGAUUCUUCUUAUUGCGCCAAAUAUUUUCCUCCAUCUAUUAGGAACUUAUUAAAUAAAGUUCAAUCUCUCUGUCGGUGUUUUUUUUUUGAACAUAAGGUCAGUCUUAGUGAAGAGGUUUAAUUUUAUAGUUUUCAAGACCCCAUAUGUUGGAAACGGUAUAGAUAAAUUUCAAUGUUAUUCAAAAUUAUGUUCUUGUAGUAUAAAAUAUGAUAGAAUUGCAUGAACAAAUCAAAUGAUUCUCAAAGUUACGUUUUGUAGCAUAAAGAACAUUCCCAUGUGGCCAUAAAACAUGAUGCUGAUUUGCUUCAGUGCAGUACGUAGUACUGGGAAGACGCCAUGCAUAUGCAUGUUCUCGCGUGGUGUACUUCACCAUCUUGAGUCGAUCGAUUCCUUGGUACCAGCAGGAACGCGUCCCGGUAGUUGGCGUUUCUGCUGUACCCGCCGGCCGCCGCCGGCCGGUAUAGUAGCAGUGAGUGAAUGACCCUAGGGUUUUUUUUUUUUUUUUUGGAAAGGUUCAACGGGGGGGGGUUGAUCCCCCACCUGAUUUUAUUGAUUAUAGCUCAUCAUUCAUGAUUACAAGAGAUUUGUACAGGAGUUUUCGCUAGAUUAGAAGCACCGAUUACAUAGGGGUGAAUGAGUUUUCCCUCCUCUAGAAUUUCUCUGCUUCUCCAGCUGCUCAUCUUCUUCCCCUCGAACACACUAGUUUCCACUGCUAUUCUCAGGUUGCUAACAAUGAGCCUAGCUAGUACUCGUUGGAGCUUGGAGGUCGUCAGGUUGCCAAUAGCUAUAGGCACCGAGGAUGCGGAUGAGCCGAGAGCAGACGCAGAGGCAGCAGAGAGCGAUGUGGUGGAUGGAUCGCAGCGCGGGGCGGAGGCCAUGGCCUGGCCGCUGGACUUUUUUGCCUGGCAAUGUUGGCCAUGCAUGGCCAGCAAGGGAGGAACAAAGGAUGACCGGAUCGGCGGCCUUGUUUACUUCCCGAAAUGAAAAUUUUCGUGACACUGUAGCACUUUCGUUUGUUUGUGGUAAUUAUUGUCCAACCAUAGACUAACUAGGCUCAAAAGAUUCGUCUCGUCAAUUUUGACCAAACUGUGCAAUUAGUUUUUAUUUUUAUUUAUAUUUAAUACUCCAUGCAUGUGUAUAAAGAUUCGAUGUGACGGAGAAUUUUGAAAAAUUUUACGUUUUUGGGUGGAAGUAAACAAGGCGUUCAGACUUGUGAUGAGAGCGCAGCGCAGCCAAUACUAUUACUGCUCGCCUGCGAAUCUACACGACGGUUCGUCUGGCAGCCCUGCACGAUACGUAGAGGUGCGCGCACAGCAGGACGUCUCGCAGCUGGCACCGGAAAUCACUGAGAUCCCGGCCGGGCCGGCCAUGCAUGCCCACCUGCGCAAGCUUGGCUUUGCUGCGCUUCACUGUUGAUAGUUAACGCCUUUGCCCUAGCCCCAGGGCGCGGUCCCGGACUCCCGGUCCUUUGUCCUCAUUACUGCCACCAGGCAUGUGUGGGAGUCAGGCAGGUGUGAAGACUCGAUCAAGACGAGAAAAUUGUGAGGUGGGCUUUAGUUUCUAAAAAAUUUUGUAAAAUUUUUCAGGUUUCCCGUUACAUCGAUUUUUUUAGACGUGUGCAUAGAGUAUUAAAUAUAGACGAAAAUAAAAACUAAUUGCACAUUUUGAUCGGAAUUGACGAGACAAAUCUUUUGAGCCUAGUUAGUCUAUGAUUAGAUAAUAUUUGUCAAAUACAAACGAAAGUGCUACAGUAUCAACAAAACCAGCAAAUAAUGGUGCCAUUGCGAUAGCCAGCUCCGCCGCGUGCAUCGGCAUUAGCCGUCAGUUCGUCACGAUCUCUUUCGAAAAAGAUCACCAAUCACUUAGCUGCUGCACUGGCGCAACUACAGUGCCCGUUGCCUCUCAAGAAACUUGUUCAAUCACUAUAGGAGAUAGACGCUUUGCCGAGUGUCUCUUGCACUCGACAACGGUCCAAAUACACUUGACAAAGUCUUUACCGAGUCCACACUCGACAAAGAGCACACGGCGAAAUUUUGGUCGGCAAAAGAGUCUUUGCCGAGUGUUUUUUAUCGGACACUCGGCAAAGUUAAAAAUAAAAAAACAAAAAAUAGGAAAAUAGGAAAAUAUUUUUUUUAGGGGAAGGUCUGCCAUCAGCCAGCAACCACCACUGCACCCUCCACCUUUUCUUUGGCAGGAUUCGAACCUACGACCUCAAGCACCACACUCCUUUACCACUACACUAUACCAUCAGUUGUGAUUAUAUUCUGUUUCGGUUCUUCAUAUAUCAUACUAAAUCACAUGUAAAUUGAUUAUUUGAGCCUCUAAACGUUCAAAUCAAAAAGUUGUCAACUACAAAGUUUCAUAACUUUUUGAGAUAUAUAAUUUUCAUUUAGGAAGUUUCUCCAUCCGUGACCGUUUACAAAAUUUGAAUUUCAAAUUUGAGAAAUUUAAACGUAGUUUUUGCAUGACAACAUGGUUUCAAAUCAAAAAGUUAUCGACUACAAAGUUUCAUAACUUUUCGAUACCUACAAAGUUUAUUUAGUCAAUUUUUUCAUCCAAGGUAGUUUCAGAAAAUCAAAAUUAAAAUUUUUCAAAUAAAGAUGUAGUUUUGCAUGACAAGAUAAUUGUCCACCAUAAAAUUUUAUAACUUGUCAAAAUCUAUAAAGUUUAUUUUGGUUGUUUAAUCAUUUGCUCACCUGACGCGGUAAUUCUAAUAUUUUUCACAAAUCUUAUAUAUCUCUCUUGUAGUUCUAGGAACUAUAAGAGAGAUGUAAAAUUUGUGAAUAAAUUUAUCUUCACUUUGCCAAAUGAAGAAAUGGCCAAAAUAAAGAUUAUAGAUCUUGAGAAGUUAUACAACUUUGUAGUUCAAAAUUUUUUUAUUUAAAUUUGUUUAGGGAUUCAAAUUUUGAUUUGAAAUUUUCUUUGCCGAGUGUUUUUUUUUUUUGCACUCGGCAAAGAGGGUUCUUUGUCGAGAGUAAAAAAACACUCGGCAAAAAGGGUUCUUUGCCGAGUGUCAAAAAAACACUUGGCAAAGACCUUCUUCGCCGAGUGUUUUUUUUGACACACGGCAAAGAACCCUCUUUGCCGAGUGUUUUUCUCUGUCGAGCGUUUUUUUUUAGCACUCGGCAAAAAAGCUCUUUGCCAAGUGCCCGAAAAAAACACUCGGCAAACCAUUAGACACUCGGUAAAGAACCGGAUUCAUAGUGAAUAAUGUUUUCCUCAUAUCCUAAUCUAUAAUUUUAUGGGACUAGGAGCAGAACAAAUGAUACACAAAUACGAUUACCAACAUGGAUAUUUCUUUUUUUUUUCCUGGAUGUAGGUACUGGUACGAACUCAGAACUAGGCGGGCUUAAAUAAUUGGAUAAUGUGUGCUUGCACUCUGUGUUUGAAUCGUAAGUCGUUCUAACGUUUCUAGAUACAUAUAGCUUUGUUAGAAGCAUCUACUCCCUCUGUCCGUAAAUAACUAUCGUCGUUAGUUAAGACUAUCUCCAUCAAUUGUUACCCAAAAUACAAUACUCAUUUGUCCUUUGGGUAGCGCUACAGGUAAAAGAUUCCAUACCUAUUUUUAGUCUUCUCCAACAACAAGACCUAAAAGACAACACUCUCUGCAAAUAGGUCUCAAGGAGAGAGGAUACACAAAUUUGGGUUAUGCCUCUCCUGAUACCCAAAAUGGGUUUUCUGUAUGGGUACUCUGUUGGAGGCUAUAGGUAUUGUGUUGGAGACCUAUUUUGGGUUUGGGUUCCCAAAUGGGUCUCCUAUUGGAGACAGCCUAAUGUGUUUGUUGCAAGUUUGAUUUGAUUUGUAAAAAAAUAUGCACAAUAUUUGUAUCUCCAAAUAAAGUUAUUAAAAAAAUCUUGAUUUAAAGAUCUUUUUAAUAAUACUAAUUAUGUACCAUAAAUAUUAUAUAUAUAUAUAGUCAAAGUUGUUUCUCAGAAAAUACAAAUCAUAGAUAUCUGGGGACAAAGAAAAUGGAUACAAAAAUAAAAGUUAUAUAUCUAGCAAAGCCAAAACUAUAGAAUGGAGAGAGUACGUAUACAUGAAACUAUUUUACAAAAAUUAUCCAAGACAUUCAUCUGCUAUCCCAUCGAGCGCCACUGCGUUGGGCCUUAUCAGCCGCUUAUCCUUAGCACUUCGCUGGCCAUACUACUACCCAUCGCCAGUGGGGACGAAUGUGCGCGUUUCAGCCUUUCAGGUAGAGCAUGGCCCAUGUACGUACGGGUACGGCCUAGAGCCCACCGAGAGUUCCCCUUUCGGGCUGUCCAUACCAUAUGAGCAAAUGGCCCUAUCGCGGCCCAUAAGGCCAUAACAUUAUUUAGCUAGGAGCUAUGUUAAUUUUUUUCAAAAGAAGAUAUGUUUGGUUUCUUGCACUUUUUGAUGGAGUCCUAUACUUCUUACGCUGAUAUAUAAUGAAGGCUGAUUAUUUUGCAAAAGAAAAAAAAAAGGCCGCGGCAGGAGGACCGGACGGCCGCGAAAAUUAUUUUCUCGGCAGGGCAGAAAACAAAACAUAGCCUUGUUUACUUCUAAAAAAUUUUGCAAAAUAAAAAUAGUAGCACUUUCGUUUGUAUUUGACAAAUAUUAUCCAAUUAUGGAGUAACUAGGCUCAAAAGAUUCGUCUUGUCAAUUCCGACCAAACUGUGCAAUUAGUUUUUAUUUUUAUAUAUAUUUAAUACUCCAUGCAUAGAUCUAAAAAUUCGAUGUGACGAAGAAUCUAAAAAAUUUUGCAAAAAUUUUUGAAACUAAACAAGGCCCAAACUCUGAGAGGUUGGGUUCGGGCAACCACCCACAGAACACAGGCCGGGAGGUUUACAACGCCAUUGUCGGCGUGGCCCAUGCAGCGCCGAGCCACCACCACCACGAGUCCACGAGGCAGCGGAAUCAUGGCGCGCGCAGGGGUGGUCCCCCCCCCCCCCCCCCCCCCCCCGCUGCUGCUUCUGCCGAAACGACGAAAACAAACAGGGUUUCCACUUUGCGCAGCAGUAGAACUGAAGGUUGUUUACUUCUUUGGACUAUAAUCUUCGUUAUUUUUUGUCAGAGAAAAAAUACUAAUCAAUAGUUGACGGAUUCGAAAUGAAAAAAUUUUGCAAAUUUUUUCAGAUUCCCUGUCACAUCAAAUCUUUAGACGUAUGCAUAAAGUAAUAAAUAUAGACGAAAAUAAAAACUAAUUGCACAGUUUGGUCGGAAUUGACGAGACAAAUCUUUUGAGCCUAGUGAGUUCAUGAUUGGAUAAUAUUUGUCAAAUACAAACGAAAGCGCUACUAUUCUAAUUUUGUAAAAAUUUUUGGAACUAAACAAGUCCCCAGUGUACUCUAGCAACUUGUGUGCUCUCGCUCUGGCGGCCGCGGUCUCGCCGGCCGGCCCGGCGACGGCUGCGCACGCUGUCGCUGAGGUCCAGUCCAUUGGCUCACAGGCACCUGGUGGGCCGGGUUGGCGUAUGCUCUGUGCUGCACUGCACCAUACCAUUAGCCAUUGCCUAUGCCAAUUGCCAAGUCACCACGAAGAACCUGCGACUGCAUGCUUGCUUCCAAUUCCAAGCUGGCCAGAGCCAGACGACCCGAGACGAGGCCGGCCGGCUGGGCCGAGGCGAGGCGUGCGCAUGCUGCAUGCAUCAGGUGCUGCCUGAUGGUUAACUUCCCGUGGCGUGUGGGAUCCUGCUGCUUAACACCAUCGGUUGAGCUUGUAAGUAUAAUUAAACGUUGAUGGCCAACACCGGCACCUCAUGCGCAUCCAUGCAUGCCUGAUGCUGAUGCCGAUGCUGAUGGCGCGCCCGUUGGAACGCACCGGAAUCUCAGAAUGGCCAAUGCCCACUGGGCAAUGGCAUCUCGAUCAGGCGCGUCGGAACGUACUGGACCCCAAGACAAGCGUUUCUUGUCUGUACUAGUACCUACGUACUGGACCCAAGACAAGACCACACACGUUGCCAGGUCUGCUCGUACGCUACCGCUGCCCAACCCUCAACUGUACGUACGUAGGAGUACCGACUACGUACCGGCUACUCCUACGUCUCCAGUGUACUGUACAGUACAAGCUGAUGGUGCUGUGCUGGCCAGUGUACAGUACAACGGAUGGAAGCAAGCAGCACGAGCUGUGUCGGCCUGCCGGUACGUAGCUUCUCUGCACAACACAACACAACACUGCGACUCGCGGUUCGGGAUCAAACGCAGAUGGGCAGGGUAAAGCGUGCCAGCGUGUCGCGUUGCGUCGCCACGCGCCAAUAAAACGGAGACGGAUGGUGGAUGAUUCCUUUUCCUCCAGCACGCACCAGCAGCACCCGGCAGCUCUGGCGCUGUGACGUGUGGGGAACAGCGGUCGCGUGGAUCCAGGGCGCUGUCCCCCGAAUCCACGGCCAGUAGUAUACCGGAGCGGAGCGACGGUGAAAUCGCAACGUUAAUCACGGGUUGACUGGCCUCAAAGUUGGUGACACAGCCAAAACACAAACCCCAAGAAAGGCAGCCUGGCAUGCAGCAUCUACGUACACUGCACUGGUGCUUUCGUCAGGCCAGGGAGCGCUGCAGCUGCUACCACCUGUACACGGGGCGCAGCAGCACUCACUGACAGGUGUGUCACGCUGAGAUCCAUCCUACUGGUGUCUGGUGUGAUGUCAAGAUUAACCAUGGCCGGACCGGAGUGACACUAGGGUAGCUUUAAAUAUUUAAGCCUUGGCAUUGUUUAGAGGUGAAAUGUUUUUUAUUUCGCUACCGUAGCACUUUCGUUUAUUUAUGGUAAACAUUGUUCAAUUAUGGACUAACUAGAAUUAAAAAAUUUGUCUCUCGAUUUAUAGGCAAACUGUGUAAUUAGUUUUUUUUUCGUCUAUAUUUAAUACUUCAUGCAUGUUACACAAGAUUCGAUGUGACGUGGAAUCUUAAAACUUUUUGGUUUUUUGUGGGAACUAAACAUGGCCCUUGUUCAGUUCCUAAAAUUUUUUGUUUUCAGAUACCGUACCACUUUCGUUUUAGUUUGACAAAUAUUAUUCAAUAAUGAACUAAGGUAGUCUCAAUGCAUAGUUUCAUAACAUAGUUACCAACACUAUAAAUUAGUUAACCGAGUCACAUGAGUUUCAUAUGGAUAAAACUCCUCUCUCAUAUAAUGAAACUCCUCCAUUUAAUGAUUCUGACAAGUCAGCAAUUUUGUUUAUAUGACACCCUAUUUAAUAUGUAUGACACUGUUAUAAAAUAUGCAUUAAGACUACCUAACUAAGGUCAAAAGAUUCAUCUCGCGAUUUAUAAGCAAACUGUGAAAUUAGUUUUUGUUUUCGUCUAUAUUUAAUAAUAUAUAUGCAUGUGCACAAGAUUUGAUGUAACAGAGAAUCUUGAUUUUUUUUUUUAAUAAACAAGACCUUUGGGGCUUAAUCAAGAAGCGAAAGAAAGCUAGAGUUGCGGUGUCAUCAUGAGUUCUCGUGAUGAUUGGCUGGGUGGUGGUUAAGCUACUUCGCUAACCGUUAGGGCGGGCUGUACGACGUCACAUGGGAGGUGGUCUUAUCCAUAAACCUUCAUUGACAGUUGAACUAGUACUAAAUCGAGAGGUGAUGAUCGAGCUGAUAGCAUUAAGCCUAAACCCUAAAACAUCCCCCCCCCCCCCCCCCCCCCCCACAGAGGUAAAGCUCAGCUAGUUUAGUAAUCCGUCACUAACGGAGCAGGUGUUGCGUGCAGCUAGCGUGCGUCGUCAUAUGGUUGCGGCGACGUAUUUGCUUAGUUUGCGAUAACUUUUGUAAAAUUGUUUAGAUUUAUCGUCAUAUUAAACCUUACUGCAUAUGAAUAAACAUUAAAUAUAUAUUUAAAAAAUAACUAAUUCUAUAAUCUAUAUCUAUAUCUUAUCUAUAAAUAGCCAAAAUUUCGGUCUGCCAAUAGAUUUCUUCUGCCACCAUGUUCGAGCCAUGUUCGUUCUGUACGCAACCAAUCCGAUAUUGAAUCAAAAUCAGCAAAUCCAUCCAAAUCCAAAUCAACCAGCAGACUAACUCUAGACAAACAACAACUUAUUUCUGCCGACCUCCACGACAAUCACCACGAAAUCAACAGAAAUCGAUUUCUUCUCUAAAAUCAACAAAAUCACGUAUGGUGGGCUUGGGGCUUGGGAGCUCACCGGCUUGGCCUCGGCGGCGGCGUCGAGGCUGAGGGCAAGGGGGAAGGGGUGGUCCCCGCGCGGCACCUGCGCCGGCGUGUCCCCUGGCGGCGGCGGAGGCUGUGGAGGGGAAGGCGAAGAAGUGCUCGAGGAAGUCGUCCUUGGAGCACCCGGGCGGCGGCAACUGCCCCGCCAUGUUCGGCGACGUGGGGGCGGAGACGGGCCCCAUGCGUCACGGCCCGAAACUUCGGGCGGCUCACGACAAGCAGACAAGCGCAGUAGCGGCCGUCCGCCAUCGCGAUCUCAGAGGUGAUCAGAUCGGGAUUAGGACGAGUGGUAGUGGAGGCGUGGAGCCCUGAGAUCUCUCCCUCCCAUCCCUACUUGCUCCUGUCGUCCAACGGGUGGACGAGAUUUUGUCUCCGUUUACUUGGCCGGUCGGGAUGGGAUUUCGUCUUCGUUACUUGGCCGGUUGGUCUCGGGGUGGGAGGAAAAUUUCUGUCUGCCCUGUCCGCUCGUCGCCGGAAUCCCCUACUUCAACGUUGUUAGAGGAGGAAAAAUAAAAUAGAAGCUUCUUUAAGGUUCCCAAUGCAAAAUUGUUUGACAACAUCAGGAGAUGUUGAAAAUAAGGAAAAUACAUCGGUUUAUGUGCAAAAUGUUUAUCCUAUUAGUUUACUUUUUUAUUCUUUAAAUCAGCUGAAAAUUGAUAAAUGCUUAGUAAUUUAUAGAAAAAUCUAAAAAUUACAAGAUAAAUUUUGUUCAGCUCCACAUAUGUAGAUCCAUGCAGUGAACAAAAAAUAUCACAAAUUUUAGUAUAUUUUUUUGCUGGAGAUGUUUCUGUAUGCUUUUUAGUGUAAAAUUGAAAUUGUAGUUAUCUUGCUCCACUUAUUAUGAAACUUUUAUGGUUGCCUAUUUAAUAUGAUGCUUGAUUUGUGGUAAAAGUUUUAGCACAAUUCCUACAUAUCUCACUGAUUUACUAAUUUACCUAGAUUUAUGCUUUAGUUGACAAUCAAUUUAAGUAUGUAAAAAUAAAAAAGAUGCUUCCACUAUCUUUGCACGAUGUGUUGUUAUGUCAUAUGAACACAUUAUAAGCCCAUAUGUUUAUAAUCUACACUCAUUUAACUGAUAUAUUAUAUUUCAUAGGAAUUCUAAUCUAAAUAAAAAAACGCUAGCAACAAACUUCUCAUGUUUUAAUAUAAUACUAAGGUAUAUUAAGAGAUAAUAUUAGAGUAAGAUUAGGUUUGCCAAAUUUAUAUUUUUAUUAUUAAAUAAAUAUGUCUACAAGCUAUAUAUUAUUGUAAAUAUUAACUAUCUAAUACUAUAGAUGUCAUGGUUAUCAAUAAAAUAAAUUAUGGACUUUAAAUUUUAUAAAAAAGAAUAAAUAUAAAUAGAUAUGUAACAUUAUAUCAUCACUUAUUAUGGUCAUUUGAUGUUUUUCUCCCGUUGCAACGCACGGACAUAUUUGCUAGUUUAUAUGUAAUUUGCAAGAUAAAUCUUUUCAGUCUAAUUUAGUCUAUAAUUAAAUAUAUUUGUCAAAUAUAAAAAAAUGCUAUGGUGCUUAUUUUUUGAAACUUUUUUACAACUAAACAAGGUCAUUCCGUGAGAGUAUAUGUAGCAAUAGCAAUAAAUAAGCGGCCAUCGAUAUCUUGAGAGAGAGAGAGAAAGCUCGGUCCAAAUUCCCGAUGCAAUUUCUUGCAUGUCGACCAUGCAUGCAAGAUGCAUUGCACCGGCGGGCCCUCCUCCUGGUCACUGACUGACCGUACCACCGUGGCAACGGCCCCAUCCAACUGUCCGGACUCCUCCAGACCACCCAUGAGGAUGAGGUCCACGGCCGCGGCUGCGCCACGUUCCUGAAGCGGUCCGAGUCCCAUCCGUCCGUUCCGCGGGCGCUGACGAGUCCGCGGACGCAUGUCCUUCUCCGGCUCUCGCCCUCGGCGUCUGGCUGGCGCCUGGCGGGCGAUUCGCGGCCGGCUACCUCUCUGCCAGUCCGUCGGAGGACUCCGCCGCUCCCCGUCGCGAGCGUUCAACGGGCACGGCAACGAGGACGAAUUCAUACAAGCACAAGAGGACGGGGGGUGGUUUGUGGCCUUGUUUCUGGCACGUGUUAAACGGGAUCUGAACACCCUAUCAAGCAGUCACGAAGGCCAAGGCUGUUGGUCUCUCUGCCGUCGAAUGGAGUGGUUGAUCAUGACCAUGGACUUUGGCCUGGUUAAGUUUUCAAAUUUUUUGAUUCAGAAUACUGUAUCACUUUUGUUUGUUUGUGUUAAAAAUAUUUUUUAAAAUUAUUUCAAUUAUGGACUAACUAGACUCAAAAAGAUUUUUCUCGUGAUUUAUAGAUAAACUGUGCAAUUAGUUUUUAUUUUUGAGUAUAUUUAAUACUUCAUAUAUGUGCCGCAAGAUUUCAUAUUACAUGAAUUCUUAAAAAGUUUUUUGUUUUAUGUGGCCUUCGUAGUUUUCCACCUCACAACAGGGACCCGCUGCACGCCUUGUUUAGUUCUAAAAAAAUAGAAAAAUUAUUCCACGUCAUAUCUCGUCGCCUAGAACGACCCAGACCGCAUCGCAUGGUCUGGUACCGGACACACCGAAUCGACCCAGCCUGGGCAUACGAGGACCAUAUCGCCAACUCGUUAACCCUAGGCUGUUCAUCACCGACGCCGCAGCACCGAGAUCGUACCGAGACGCGCUGAUGGCUGGAGGAGAAGUGCGACGGAGAUGGAACCGGGGCGCCCUAAAACGUGGAGGCUCUUCUGGCCAACGCGGACGAGGAAGGGCAGUCGUCCAGGACGGCGGCGUUUCUGAUCAAGGUCACGGUCGGGAGGAAGGGCACGAACAGCGUGGUCUUGGUGGCCGAGGGCGGCCUCCCCCAGCACACGGGCGCGGAGGGCCAGCACCGCGUGCUGGUCGCGGAGGAUCAGCACCGUCUGCUGGUCGCGGAGGACCAGCACCAUCUGUGGGUCGUGGUGACCCCCAUGGUCGCGACCGAAUCCCUAGGCCGACCAAGGCGGGUGCGCUCGACCAUGGUCCUUCUUCUGAACCUGCGCGCGGAACUGAGGAUGCUGUGGAGGGCACGCAGGAACACAAGGAGGACACCAACGCAGGGCCUGGUUCCACGGUGGAUGCGGAUCAUGCCAAGAAGCGGAAGCGCAAGGGUCCUUCGGUGAAAUUGGAUUGCUCCAUAUGCACUGAAGAGCACUACACCCACCUCUGCCCUUUACUGAGAGGUCCCAAACCAUCGGUCGCUUUCUGCGGCGCUGCUGAGGAUGGUAUGGGGUUCUUCCAAAUUCAGACUGGUAAGAAACAUCAUAUUGUGGAUACCUUUCAGUCUUCUUGUGCAGCCCUCAUCACAGUUGAAGUUGGCGAAGUUUCUGCUCAAUUACUACAAACUGAACUCGCAAGAAUCAUUCCAGUCCGAUGGGAUUGGGAGGUGCAGCAGUUGGGGGCAAAAUCUUUUGUUGUCCCGUUUCCAAGCAGGGAGGAACUUGAUCGCAUGAUGGCAAUCGGUACCUUCACCACAAAGAACAACGAAGGCACCAUUGCUUUCGAGGAGUAUGUGGAUGAUGUGCAACCUUUCAAGAUACUUGAGCAGGUAUGGGUUACAGUCACAAAGGUGCCAAGAUUGCUUCGUUCCUUCCUUCCAUUGUGGGCAGUAGGGACAAUUAUUGGGUCCACAGAGAAGGUUGAUAUGAUACACCUGCGGGCGACUGGUCACGUUCGCAUUUUUGUGGCCGUUUAUGAUGUGAAGAAGAUCCCUAAAUUUAUUGAUGUUUGUGUUGGCACUGGUAUCUAUCGCUUGUAUUUCAAGGCUGAUGAAGCGGUGCAGGGUGACCCGAUAGAUCCAGAUGAGGAUCUAUCGGAAGAUAGUGAUAAGGAGCCAGAGGGGAGUGACCGUGAAGAUCCAGAUGAGAAUCUAUCGGAAGAUAGUGAUAAGGAGCCAGAGGGGAGUGACCGUGAGAUGGAAGAUGCGGAACCAGAUAACCCCCAAGACCCCCAGAAUAACACAAAAGCUUCAGACAAACACCCAGCACCUACUCAUAAUAUACCCCCCCAGAAGCAAGCGGCUUUAGUGCAAGAGGCGUUGGAUUUGGCAUGCACGCAGCUCAUUGAUGAGAUCAGCAUUCGAGUCAUGCUUGAGCGAGAUGAAGGGGUGUCAAGGAAGAAUUUUUCUACUCUGACAGCGGAAGAAUUGGAAGAGUAUAAUAAGCUUGUUGAUUUACCUAACAAAAUUAAUCAUUCUUCUGUCCUUUUGCCAACGCUGGAGACAUCGACUGAUCGUGUUGAGUUGGGGGUGCUACUUCACCUACAACCCCCCUACUCACUCUGCACACCGGCGCGGCCACAUCGGGGGGCUCUACACCGCCCAUAGCCCCCCACUUCGACACGAGCCAAGCCACGCCGGGCGCAGACCGCCCUAGCUCUGGGUCG